rnacentral:rRNA from 1 species
AGCGAACGCUGGCGGCAGGCCUAACACAUGCAAGUCGAACGAACCUUUCGGGGUUAGUGGCGGACGGGGGAGUAACACGUGGGAACGGGCCUUUAGGUUCGGAAUAACUCAGGGAAACUUGUGCUAAUACCGAAUGUGCCCUUCGGGGGAAAGAUUUAUCGCCUUUAGAGCGGCCCGCGUCUGAUUAGCUAGUUGGUUGAGGUAAUGGCUCACCAAGGCGACGAUCAGUAGCUGGUCUGAGAGGAUGAUCAGCCACAUUGGGACUGAGACACGGCCCAAACUCCUACGGGAGGCAGCAGUGGGGAAUCUUGCGAAAUGGGCGAAAGCCUGACGCAGCCAUGCCGCGUGAAUGAUGAAGGUCUUAGGAUUGUAAAAUUCUUUCAACGGGGACGAUAAUGACGGUACCCGGAGAAGAAGCCCCGGCUAACUUCGUG